rnacentral:rRNA from 1 species
UACAGAGGGGGCAAGCGUUGUUCGGAAUUACUGGGCGUAAAGGGCGCGUAGGCGGCCUUCUAAGUCGAACGUGAAAUCCCCGGGCUCAACCCGGGAACUGCGUCCGAUACUGGAAGGCUUGAAUCCGGGAGAGGGAUGCGGAAUUCCUGGUGUAGCGGUGAAAUGCGCAGAUAUCAGGAGGAACACCGAUGGCGAAGGCAGGUCUCUGGGCCACUACUGACGCUGAGAAGCGAAAGCAUGGGGAGCGAACAGG